GAGUUUGAUCAUGGCUCAGAUUGAACGCUGGCGGCAUGCCUUACACAUGCAAGUCGAACGGUAACAGGUCUUCGGAUGCUGACGAGUGGCGAACGGGUGAGUAAUGCAUCGGAACGUGCCCAGUAGUGGGGGAUAGCCCGGCGAAAGCCGGAUUAAUACCGCAUACGACCUGAGGGUGAAAGGGGGGGAUCGCAAGACCUCUCGCUAUUGGAGCGGCCGAUGUCAGAUUAGCUAGUUGGUGGGGUAAAGGCCUACCAAGGCAACGAUCUGUAGUUGGUCUGAGAGGACGACCAGCCACACUGGGACUGAGACACGGCCCAGACUCCUACGGGAGGCAGCAGUGGGGAAUUUUGGACAAUGGGCGCAAGCCUGAUCCAGCAAUGCCGCGUGCAGGAAGAAGGCCUUCGGGUUGUAAACUGCUUUUGUCAGGGAAGAAAUCUUCUGGGUUAAUACCUCGGGAGGAUGACGGUACCUGAAGAAUAAGCACCGGCUAACUACGUGCCAGCAGCCGCGGUA
rnacentral:rRNA from 2 species